UACAGAGGGUGCGAGCGUUAAUCGGAAUUACUGGGCGUAAAGCGCACGUAGUCGGCUUUGCAAGUCGGGUGUGAAAGCCCCGGGCUCAACCUGGGAAUUGCAUUCGAGACUGAAUAGCUAGGGUGCGGUAGAGGGAAGCGGAAUUUCCGGUGUAGCGGUGAAAUGCGUAGAUAUCGGAAGGAACAUCAGUGGCGAAAGCGGCUUCCUGGACCAGCACCGACGUUCAGGCACGAAAGCGUGGGGAGCAAACAGG
rnacentral:rRNA from 1 species